UCCACGCUGUAAACGAUGAUCACUCGAUAUUGGCAACACACAGCCAGUGUCCAAGAGAAAUUGAUAAGUGAUCCACCUGGGGAGUACGAUCGCAAGGUUGAAACUCAAAGGAAUUGACGGGGGCCCGCACAAGCGGUGGAGCAUGUGGUUUAAUUCGAUAAUACGCGAGGAACCUUACCAGGGCUUAAAUGCAGGACGACCUCCCGGGAAACCGGGAUUUCUUCGGACGGCUU
rnacentral:rRNA from 1 species